UACGUAGGGGGCAAGCGUUGUCCGGAAUUAUUGGGCGUAAAGAGCGUGUAGGCGGUCCGGUAAGUCAGCUGUGAAAGUCAAGGGCUCAACCCUUGAAUGCCGGUUGAUACUGUCGGGCUAGAGUCCGGAAGAGGCGAGUGGAAUUCCUGGUGUAGCGGUGAAAUGCGCAGAUAUCAGGAGGAACACCGAUGGCGAAGGCAGGUCUCUGGGCCACUACUGACGCUGAGAAGCGAAAGCGUGGGGAGCAAACAGG
rnacentral:rRNA from 1 species